rnacentral:rRNA from 1 species
UACGGGGGGAGCAAGCGUUGUUCGGAUUUACUGGGCGUAAAGGGCGCGUAGGCGGCCACUGCAAGUCAGUUGUGAAAUCUCCGGGCUUAACUCGGAAAGGUCAACUGAUACUGCAGGGCUAGAGUGCAGAAGGGGCGACUGGAAUUCUCGGUGUAGCGGUGAAAUGCGUAGAUAUCGAGAGGAACACCGAUGGCGAAGGCAGGUCUCUGGGCCAUAACUGACGCUGAGAAGCGAAAGCAUGGGGAGCGAACAGG